UACGUAGGUGGCGAGCGUUAUCCGGAAUUACUGGGCGUAAAGGGCCCGCAGGCGGCUUCUUAAGUCUGACGUGAAAGCUCCUGGCUUAACUGGGAGAGGUCGUUGGAGACUGGGGGGCUUGAGGCGAUGAGAGGGGUGUGGAAUUCCCGGUGUAGUGGUGGAAUGCGUAGAUAUCGGGAGGAACACCAGUGGCGAAAGCGGCACCCUGGCAUCGGCCUGACGCUGAGGGGCGAAGGCGUGGGGAGCGAAC
rnacentral:rRNA from 1 species